UAUAAGACCAAACUCUGAUGUUGUUAGGGGUAAGGGAAGAUAUAGUUGUGGUAGAUUUCCUUGGAACUUCUUGAGUAAGGAAAUAUGAAACAUAAGAUGGAUUUUAGUUGUGUUAAGUAAUUGUAAUCUAUAAGCAACAACUCUUAUCUUUUCCACAACCUCAAACGACCCAAAAAACUUGAGUCCCAAUUUUUUAUUUUUUCAUAAGGCCAAGGAUUGUUGCCUAUAUGGUUGCACCUUAACCAAUGCUAGAUCACCCACC
rnacentral:lncRNA from 1 species